rnacentral:rRNA from 1 species
CAAUCGCAGAUUCGUCGGCGAUGCGUCGUUAAAAUUUCUGCCCUAUCAGCUUUGGAUGGUAGUGUAGUGGACUACCAUGGCUUUUACGGGUGACGGGGAAUUAGGGUUCGAUUCCGGAGAGGGAGCCUGAAAACGGCUACCACUUCUAUGGAAGGCAGCAGGCGUGCAAAUUACCCAAUCUCAACAUGAGGAGGUAGUGACAAGAAAUAUCAAUACUGGACCCUUACGGGUUCGGUAAUUGAAAUGAGUGUAGGCCAAAAUGUUUAUCGAGGAUCAAUUGGAGGGAAAGUCUGGUGCCAGCAGCCGCGGUAAUACCAGCUCCAAUAGUGUAUAUUAAUGCUGCUGCAGUUAAAAAGCUCGUAGUCGAAUGUCUGCUCUGUCAAACUCGAACUAUCCUUCACUGAAGGAUACGUCUCGAUUCGUUUGCGGGGCAUCAUUCUGGAAAGUGCUUCUGCCCUUGAUUGGGUUGGUUGUACGAUCCAGAACAUUUACUGUGAGCAAAUGGGAGUGUUCAAAGCAAGCUUUUAGUUACGCUUGAACCGUUUAGCAUGGAAUAAUAAAAUAUAACUUAGGUUUUAUUUUGUUGGCUUGCUAAAACCCAAGUAAUGAUCGAAAGGGAUGGUUUGGGGGUGCUCAUAUUCAGGGGGUACCGGUGAAAUGGGAUGAUCCUCCGAAGAUGAACUAAUGCGAAAGCAUUCACCAAGGACAUUUUCUUUGAUCAAGAACGAAAGUUGGGGGAUCGAAGACGAUCAGAUACCGUCGUAGUCUCAACUAUAAACGAUGCCAACUAGUAAUUGGCGAUCGUCGGCUACCAUGACUCCGUCAGCGACUUCAGAGAAAUCAAAGUCUCUGGGUUCUGGGGGGAGUAUGGUCGCAAGUCUGAAACUUAAAGGAAUUGACGGAAGGGCACCACCAGGAGUGGAACCUGCGGCUUAAUUUGACCCAACACGGGGAAACUUACCAGGUCCGGACAUAAUAAGGAUUGACAGACUGAAGCUCUUUCUUGAUUCUGUGGGUAGUGGUGCAUGGCCGUUCUUAGUUGGUGGAGUGAUUUGUCUGGUUAACUUCGAUAACGAGCGAGACCUCAGCCUACUAAUUAGAUGUGGGAAUCUUCGGAUUCCUUAUUUAGCGUCUUCUUAGAGGGACUAUCGGUGCGUAGCCGACGGAAGGUUGAGGCAAUAACAGGUCUGUGAUGCCCUUAGAUGUCCUGGGCAGCACGCGGGUUACAAUGCUGCAUUCAACGAGUUUUGCCUUGUCCGAAAGGUCUGGGUAAACUUUUGAAAUUGCAGCUUGUCGGGGCUUGAUCA